CUCUUGGCUUGUAAUAGAUAGGGCUUUGGCGAGCAAUUUGGUCCAUUUUCCCUUUCCCCCUUUUGUUUUAGUUAGUGAAUGUAAUAGAUAGGGCUUGGAGGAGCAUUCAAUGAAGACCUAUCGAAGACGUGUGCCUAGCUAGCAAAUGUAAUAGUUAGGGGUUUAAUUGUCUUAUGUGUCUUGCAUGCUUAGUUGCUACGUGUUAAUUUGCUUUGUUAGGACCUUGCAUCUAGUCGAGCAUGCUAAGUGUUAUGUGCUAUGUGUUUAUGAGUGUUUGGCAUGUCUACUCGCUUUCCAUAGCCUGAAUGAAUGUGAUGGAUGAAUGGACGUUUCCACUAGUCCAACGCUAGUCGGAAUUCAUAGAAUGGGCUAGUCCAACGCUAGACCCUUAGGGAUUUCCCCUCGUUAGCACAUAUUUGCAUGUUCAUUACAUGUCAUGCAUUCUUUUUAGUUUUAUCAUUUUGCAUGCCCCUCGAACCCCUUUUCCCUCCAUUUCAGGAUUUUUGCAUUUCAUGCUAGCUAUAGGGUUCAUUUGAUUGAGAGUCCCCUUAAAUAUGGGAUAUAGACGAGUGUGGCUUUUUCUAAGCCUUAGCACGCUUGUGUUCCCUCUAUAAAAGGGCAAAUUAAGUCACGAUUUAGGUCUCCCCGUACCCAAUAUGCAUGAAUUCCCUAGGCUCAUGCAUUUUUUAAUCCACUUUAUCAUUUUAUACUUUCACUUCUCCUCUC
rnacentral:lncRNA from 1 species